rnacentral:ncRNA from 2 species
CAGAGUAGGGCUUUUGCGUCAAGUGCCGCCGGACGGGGAGUUGCCGCGCGGACGAAAGCGCGCACGCGCUGCGGUUCAAGGCCCGCAUCCCGCUG